GACGAACGCUGGCGGCGUGCUUAACACUUGCAAGUCGAACGGUGAAGGGGCCUGCUUUUGUGGGCCCUGGAUGAGUGGCGAACGGGUGAGUAACACGUGAGUAACCUGCCCCCUUCUUCUGGAUAACCGCAUGAAGGUGUGGCUAAUACGGGAUAUUCUGGGUCUGUCGCAUGAUGGGUCUGGGAAAGAUUGCGCCUUUGGGUGUUUUUGGUGGGGGAUGGGCUCGCGGCCUAUCAGCUUGUUGGUGGGGUGAUGGCCUACCAAGGCGGUGACGGGUAGCCGGCCUGAGAGGGUGGACGGUCACACUGGGACUGAGACACGGCCCAGACUCCUACGGGAGGCAGCAGUGGGGAAUAUUGCACAAUGGGCGCAAGCCUGAUGCAGCGACGCCGCGUGAGGGAUGGAGGCCUUCGGGUUGUAAACCUCUUUCGCCAGUGAAGCAGGCCUGCUCCUUGUGGGUGGGUUGACGGUAGCUGGAUAAGAAGCGCCGGCUAACUACGUG
rnacentral:rRNA from 1 species